GGAGGGGUAGUCUAAUGGUAAGGCACCGGUUUCGAAAACCGGCGCGAGAAAUCGCUUGGGGGUUCGAGUCCCCCUCCCUCCG
rnacentral:tRNA from 2 species